UGGGGAAUCUUAGACAAUGGGGGCAACCCUGAUCUAGCCAUGCCGCGUGAGUGAUGAAGGCCUUAGGGUUGUAAAGCUCUUUCAGCUGGGAAGAUAAUGACGGUACCAGCAGAAGAAGCCCCGGCUAACUCCGUGCCAGCAGCCGCGGUAAUACGGAGGGGGCUAGCGUUGUUCGGAAUUACUGGGCGUAAAGCGCACGUAGGCGGACCAGAAAGUUGGGGGUGAAAUCCCGGGGCUCAACCCCGGAACUGCCUUCAAAACUAUUGGUCUGGAGUUCGAGAGAGGUGAGUGGAAUUCCGAGUGUAGAGGUGAAAUUCGUAGAUAUUCGGAGGAACACCAGUGGCGAAGGCGGCUCACUGGCUCGAUACUGACGCUGAGGUGCGAAAGCGUGGGGAGCAAACAGG
rnacentral:rRNA from 1 species